rnacentral:rRNA from 1 species
UACGGAGGGGGCGAGCGUUAUUCGGAAUUAUUGGGCGUAAAGGGCGCGUAGGCGGCUUGACAAGUCAAAGGUGAAAUCCCUCGGCUCAACUGAGGAACUGCCUUUGAAACUGUCUGGCUCGAGGCCGGGAGGGGGUAGCGGAAUUCCCAGUGUAGCGGUGAAAUGCGUAGAUAUUGGGAGGAACACCAGUGGCGAAGGCGGCUACCUGGACCGGUUCUGACGCUGAUGCGCGAAAGCGUGGGUAGCAAACAGG